rnacentral:rRNA from 1 species
GAGGAAGUAAAAGUCGUAACAAGGUUUCCGUUAGGUGAACCUGCGGAAGGAUCAUUAAAUAAUUUAGAUGGCCUUUGCUAGUUUUCUAGCGAAUGGUUCAUUCUUUUUUACUGUGAACUGUUUUAAUUUUUCAGCGUCUGAGGAAUGUCUUUUAGCCAUAGGGAUAGGCUACUAGAAUGUUAACCGAGCUGAAAGUCAGGCUUAGGCCUGGUAUCCUAUUAAUUAUUUACCAAAAGAAUUCAGUAUUAUAAUUGUAACAUAAGCGUAAAAAACUUAUAAAACAACUUUUAACAACGGAUCUCUUGGUUCUCGCAUCGAUGAAGAACGUAGCAAAGUGCGAUAACUAGUGUGAAUUGCAUAUUCAGUGAAUCAUCGAGUCUUUGAACGCAACUUGCGCUCAAUGGUAUUCCAUUGAGCACGCCUGUUUCAGUAUCAAAAACACCCCACAUUCAUAAUUUUGUUGUGAAUGGAAUUGAGAGUUUCGGCUUUAUUGCUGAAUUCUUUAAAAUUAUUAGGCCUGAACUAUUGUUCUUUCUGCCUGAACAUUUUUUUAAUAUAAAGGAAUGCUCUAGUAAAAAGACUAUCUCUGGGGCCUCCCAAAUAAAUCAUUCUUAAAUUUGAUCUGAAAUCAGGCGGGGAUUACCCGCUGAACUUAAGCAUAUCAAUA